AUUGCAGGCAAAUUCCACACAGUAAAAAAUGCAGACUUCGAAUCAGCAGAUUUGGCGCAUCCUGCGAAAGUUCGGCACAGACCAAGUUCAGCAUAGUAAGGGGAAGACGAAGCGAGGGAAGAGGACAAGAUGUUGUUGGUCGCAGAUAAAAGGGAACUGCAGCAAGGCGACUGCGGCUUAGCAUGACAAUGCAGGUGCCUCAUCCCACGUCAAAACGCAGCGUGGCGCCACGACGAGAUAGGCCGCAGAGGGAGAAUAAAGAAGCCCAGUUGCUGAUAUUUAUCCGAACAUUAGACUCGGCUAAACUCGAAUUUACCAGCCUGAUCCCGGAAAAUAACAUUAAAAGUGACUGGAAUCGUUUGAACGUCGAAUCACACGCCUCAUCAACCAACAGUCGCCUCUUUCAGACGAAUUCUUGUGGUUCGUCGCUUUGCAGAUAUCUGAAGAAUUUCUAUAUCGAUUCUAACUUCUGAACAGGUAAUUAGGAAGCAAGAUUCAAGUUCGAGAAGCAGCUUGGUUUAAUUUCAGUAACAGCCGCUUAAAUUACGAAGGGCAAAGUUGCAGAGUCGAAUCUCGACGCAAGAUUAGCAAUCGCUGCCAAGAUAUUUGCAGAGUUUUAUUAUGAGAAGCCAUUUUCUUAUGAAAAUUUGUUUAAAUCAAUUUUAUGCUAUAAUAUACUUUAAUUUCUAAAAAAUGAAACUCUAACCUCGAAAUAACAAACUCUGUGUAGCCUAACCUUAACAAUUUACAAAAACGCGACGUAAGAGAUAACGCAAACACACAAACAUACGUAAACCCAAAGUGAAAGAUACCAAAAAGGACAGCGACAGCUAACAUACUGGACCCAAUUCGCAGGCAACAUUAUCAUCAAACCCGAAUUAACGAAUAUCGACGUACGAGGAGAGCGAGAGGACCGAUGCACGAGGGCGUUCAGGUGAAAAAGAUCGGCCGACAGUGAGAAUCAGAACUAUGAGACGUGAGGGAAGUUCGAUCAAGAUGAAGAUUUCCUGAUCUGAUGCACGGCACAGAACGGAUGUCGCGGGUGGCCGCAGGUGGCGCCCUCGAUAUAAGCUCUUCUGACUGAACCGCUGAUACAGGACCGCUCUCCUAAAACUUUCACGGCGGAAUGUGUCAUCCUGUCACUGAACCCACAUGGGGUAAGAGACGUCCCAUGGGCCCGUCAACCGCGUCCCUCCAACUCCUAUACCUUUCUCCGUCUUUUUCUCUCGCUUCCUCCGAAUCUACUUCAUCCAAGUUAAACGCUGUUUCGUACACUGUUAUUACGUAACUGUGUGGGAACUUCAUUGACAACGAUAUCUGCUAUUUGUAGCUAUUAAUCCACUGAAAUGCACAGUCGUCUAGCAGGCAAGUCGUCUAACAUGCAAGGAAUGUUCAAGAUAUAAGUGUAGAACCGAAUCUUAGCACUUUGACUGCCACUUGGGUCAUAUGUGACCCACCACGGUUUCUCCUGUGACGCCACUGUGGUCAUUGGUGACCGGAGCGCUUUAACUUCUUACAAUUGUAAAAAUUGUAUGAAAAUUCACAGUUAGGGCACUGUGAAUAUAACCGAUAAAUAGAAGAUACUUUGAAAUAAAAAGUGUCCAUUGAACAAUUAAACAUUUUUAUUAGAACAUCAAUAAAAAAAGAUGAGGACAAAUGUUGCAUCUAACGGUGCACUGUGUUUGCAUUCAUAUCUUUAAGGGGAAAUCUACGAAUAAUAUUAUAAACACACCAUAGAAAAUAAUCGUAACUGCUGUUUUAUAAUCAUAUAAUUGAGGUUAGAAGUGUGAACAUACCUUACUGUUACAUAUAGAAUGAGCAAAUACUGUUUACUAAUAUCUCUACACGUUCAACAAUAUAUUCUGCACGUUUUGCUUGCGACGAAAUAACGAAAGCGAAUGGUUUGUUGAAAUAAACGAAGCCUUGUUAUAAUAUGUUGCUAUCAACUGUUAGCAAGGCGCCACGGUGAUCCCCCGUGACCACCAAUAAGAUAAACGGUCUAUUGGGGAAGAAUGUUGUCUUACAUCAUCAAUUUAUUAUUAUUUUGCCAUUAUAUGCUUUGAAUAAUAAAAAUAUACCCGUGGUAUCCUCAGCAAAACAUGUGAUUUCGGCGUGGCAGUCAAAGUGUUAAAAGAAAGUCUGUUCUAAAAUGAAAAUUUAUAAAAUUUUUGAACAUAUCAGAGAAUUCUAUGUAGCAUUUUCCAUAUACGUAGACGAGAAAGAAAGCUGAAUUUGUGAUGGGAAUAUUUAGACAUUUGAUAUGGAACAAUUAGUAUAACAAUGAGUUAAGGGUUGAAACACAAGAAAAUGCGAAGCAGAGUGCAAAGUUAUUUUGUAAUAAACAUUCGUCAAAUCUGUGAAUACACAUACAUUCAUAUACACAAAGAGAAAACGUAAAUGCGUUGUAGGAUGACUAGGAUGAUUUCGCGCGAAGAAAUUAGUGGCCCACUGGAUUGAGGUCACUCGCUUAAAAUAAAUUCAUAUUUGAACAGUAUCUUUGUUUUGG